CCUCGGGAAGUCCUCGUGUUGCUCCCCUUU
rnacentral:rRNA from 1 species